AACGAACGCUGGCGGCAUGCCUAACACAUGCAAGUCGAACGAACCCUUCGGGGUGAGUGGCGCACGGGUGCGUAACACGUGGGAACCUGCCCUCAGGUUCGGAAUAACAGCUAGAAAUGACUGCUAAUAUCGGAUAAUGUCUUCUGACCAAAGAUGUAUCGACUUUGGAUGGGCCCGCGUAGGAUUAGCUAGUUGGUGAGGUAAAGGCUCACCAAGGCGACGAUCCUUAGCUGGUCUUAGAGGAUGAUCAGCCACACUGGGACUGAGACACGGCCCAGACUCCUACGGGAGGCAGCAGUGGGGAAUAUUGGACAAUGGGCGAAAGCCUGAUCCAGCAAUGCCGCGUGAGUGAUGAAGGCUCUAGGGUUGUAAAGCUCUUUCACCGGUGAAGAUAAUGACGGUAACCGGAGAAGAAGCCCCGGCUAACUUCGUGCCAGCAGCCGCGGUAAUAC
rnacentral:rRNA from 1 species